ACGGAAGGCAGCAGUGGGGGAUAUUGCACAAUGGGGGAAACCCUGAUGCAGCGACGCCGCGUGAGUGAAGAAGUAUUUCGGUAUGUAAAGCUCUUUAAGCUGGAAAGAUAAUGACGGUACCAGCAGAAUAAGCCCCGGCUAACUACGUGCCAGCAGCCGCGGUAAUACGUAGGGGGCAAGCGUUAUCCGGAUUUACUGGGUGUAAAGGGAGCGUAGACGGUUUGGCAAGUCUGAAGUGAAAUGCGGGGGCUCAACUCCUGAACUGCUUUGGAAACUGUCGAACUAGAGUGCAGGAGAGGUAAGUGGAAUUCCUAGUGUAGCGGUGAAAUGCGUAGAUAUUAGGAGGAACACCAGUGGCGAAGGCGGCUUACUGGACUGUAACUGACGUUGAGGCUCGAAAGCGUGGGGAGCAAACAGGAUUAGAUACCCUGGUA
rnacentral:rRNA from 1 species